UUACUGAGUUUACGCUCUAUAACCCUUUGUGAACAUACCUAUAACUGUUGCUUCGGCGGGUAGGGUCUCCGUGACCCUCCCGGCCUCCCGCCCCCGGGCGGGUCGGCGCCCGCCGGAGGAUAACCAAACUCUGAUUUAACGACGUUUCUUCUGAGUGGUACAAGCAAAUAAUCAAAACUUUUAACAACGGAUCUCUUGGUUCUGGCAUCGAUGAAGAACGCAGCGAAAUGCGAUAAGUAAUGUGAAUUGCAGAAUUCAGUGAAUCAUCGAAUCUUUGAACGCACAUUGCGCCCGCCAGCAUUCUGGCGGGCAUGCCUGUUCGAGCGUCAUUUCAACCCUCAAGCUCUGCUUGGUGUUGGGGCCCUACAGCUGAUGUAGGCCCUCAAAGGUAGUGGCGGACCCUCCCGGAGCCUCCUUUGCGUAGUAACUUUACGUCUCGCACUGGGAUCCGGAGGGACUCUUGCCGUAAAACCCCCAAUUUUCCAAAGGUUGACCUCGGAUCAGGUAGGAAUACCCGCUGAACUUAAGCAUAUCAAUAAGCGGAGGAAAAGAAACCAACAGGGAUUGCCUCAGUAACGGCGAGUGAAGCGGCAACAGCUCAAAUUUGAAAUCUGGCCCUAGGCCCGAGUUGUAAUUUGCAGAGGAUGC
rnacentral:rRNA from 1 species